AUAUAAUAUGAGGCCCUGAGGAGUACAAUAUGUCCAAGAGGAUUUUCCAUCAUCAUAAUGACUGCUCUGGAUUACCCCAAGGAUGAGCAAAGCACAUGAACCCUGGUUAAAAGAGGUAAGGGUUCACUCCACCAGCCGCGCUUUGGAAGUCGAAUGUUUCAGAAGUCGAAUGGAAUUCUGGAACAGGUCCUGUUUGACUUCCGAAAUACAACUGCAAUGGGAGAUCUAAAAACAGCUAUAACAUUUAUUUUCAAAGAAGUGAGUGGAAUUUGUAGGCAUGGCAGUCCUCCAGAGUGGUUCAAGCCUUUACCAUGCUGGAGUAAUUAAAAUAGGAAUUAUGAAGGGCUGGGGGGUGGUGUUUGUGUGGGGAAUGGAUUCCCAAGAAAGAUUGGAGUGAAAUAAAUGCUCCCCCCCGCCAGCAGUGUUCCUAUUUCCCCAAGGUCAUUGGUGGUGGGUGGGAUCAAGCUUUUCCCAUAGAUAUUUUUUUUGGGGGGGGGGGUUGGAAAUACAAUGGGUAGCUCUCCAUUGACUUGCAUAGGGAAAGGCACAAACCCAUGUGGAAAUCAAACACAGUUUUUAAUCCUUCUCCAAAAUAAUUGUGUUUGGAGGGUUCCAUUCCCAGCACUGAGGUGGUGCCUGUUGGGAUACUGCCAGGGAGACAAAGUCCAUCAUGACUCCACGCCGUCUCCGGACGUCCAUCGAUCUCCCGUAGACACGCAGUAUCAGCAAUUAGCGACACGAGCUCCAGAAAUAGCUUGCCACAUUCCAGAGCUGAUGCACGCUCUAUCAGCAGAUAAUGCACAGCGAAAGAUGCACUCAGGAGAGCAUUAUUUACAAGUUUAUUCAGCGUUGAUCAGAACAAAGAAAACAUGACUGCCUGCUUCAGUGUCUCAGGCACAGAGAGAGAAACGAAAGCAUAGACACAACAGAAACUUCCUGUGAACAGGAAAUACGCAGACUCUGUGACUCACAAAGCCUGCUCCCUUUUAAGGUGGAACGGAAAUAUCCUAAUAUCGCCAAACACAGAAACCUGAGAGGAUGAAUCAAAAGACAAGGACCUUGAGGAGCAGGCAGAGCCCCCUGAAUCCAAUAUCAAGGAUCUCCUUGAGGGGCCCUCUAGGCUGACACCUGAUGAAGAACUGGAACCUUCAGAGAAUAUGCACCAAUAUGCACCAAUGGGCUCAGAGUUGUCUGUCUACUUGUGACACUACUAAGGAAUAACCUGUCCUUGAUAUUCCUUCACUGCCAGCAGCUGUGAUCAUUGUGUGGUGGCUGGAAACAACACAUUUCUCUGGCUCCUUGUCAACUCACCUCUUUUGGUGAAUCCCAUGUGACAUUAACCUUGGACUGUGUCUUGACUUUACUUCCAGAUAAUUUUUGGGACCUAGCCUGAUUCUGUGUGAUUGGUCUUGGCUAGUUGAGACUAAACUGCACUUAGAAUCCUGAUUACUGAGACCUUAGUCCCUGAGGGUGACCACACUGGAGACCAAACAGUGCCUUGAGAAAGACCGCUCACCUUUUCAGGUGGGUGGCAUUGCAGCCAGGCAUCUGGGCCCUGCAGUGUCUUUUUUCAAUGAUUUAGCUCUAUAAUUCAGCACCACCUCUCUGACAGUUCUACAUUUUGCUGCAGCUAAAUUGAAAUAAAUCACUGCCUUCGAUAUGGAGGAUUCCAAAUUCAAAUGCAUGCUGUUUCAGUCCUUCUUAAAUGUUUUGGGUUCAGGGACUUUUGCUAGUGAAAUUAUACCACUCUUAUUUUGAAUCCAGAGUUGGUUACAGCAUAUGUAUUAAAAGAGCUGCAUGAUAUAAUCAUAAAAAUGCAAAUAAAGCAAUUCAUAACAAAAUUAGAUUUUUAAAAAUCCAUAAAAUAACACAAUCUUUAAAAAUAAUAGCACACCAGCUCUUAACAAAUCACUAAAUAACUAUAACUAAAGCAGCUGCAUUCCAUCUAUUUGCCUCGUUGGGUCUCUCUUCCUACAAAAACUCCCACCCAAAAUUGGUAAAUCUUAACCAAACAUAGCCUAAAUUAUAAAGAGAUAAUGCAGGGCAUAACUCAGUAGGGACACAGGUUUUCUUAUUUGCAUGCAGGUCUACUUCUACAGUCAAAUUUCAAAUGUCAAUGCUUUGCAAAAUGCCCUUGUAGCUCUAUCUUGGAACCUGUUCAGGGGGGAAAAAAUCUUCCCUAUGACAUCUGAGCAAAUACAUCUCAUCCAUGAGGAAUAUCAAUUAAUUCCUGUUCUAUUAAUGAACCAAACUAUGUCUCUCUGUCUUUCUUUCUUUUACUAUAUGUCUUUUUUUAAAAAAGCAAUAUAAAUCCCAGUAACAGUUUCAAAUCUUACUUGUGUUCUUGUUGAGAAAAAUACCACUUUGUUGAGAAAGAACCACAGCCUUCUGCAGUGACUUCUCCAGUGGCUGGUCUGUGCUCCCACCUGUGUAUGCAAGUGGAUGGACAUGCAUGUAACCCCCAUCUGGAAGCCUAAAACCUGCCUGGUACAGUUUUAUGUGGUGUUUGGGAGCGGGCGUGGUGGAAGCAGAUGUAUUGGGCAACUGAGUUAACCAGUAGAAAAAGGAACCAGAUUGUCUUUACAAUGGAACCAAUUUACGUAGAAAUCACUUGGCAGAGUGGGAGGAACUGUAUUUUGACCACAGUGGAAAAGUUCUUCAUUUUUUUUAAAGUGCCACCGGGCUCCAUCUCCUUCUGAACUCAAUAGGUCUUUCAUACAGACCCUCCUGGAUCUUAAGAUUGUCAGACGUUUUGGCUAUUUAUGUUGCCCUUAGAAAUUUAGAGUGGUGGUGGCAACCAGAGAGAGAAGAUUCUUCGUAGCAGCCCCUAAGCUGUGGAAUUCCCUCUCCAAAGAGGUGCACCCAACACCUUCAUUAUGUCAUUUUCACUGGAUGUAGAAGACGGUGGUAGAGCACCUGAUUUGCUUUGUUCAAUCUCUGGCAUCUCCAGGUAGGGUUAGGGAAAGAUCCUACCCAAAACCCUGGAGAGUCUCUGCCAGUCAAGGUAGACAGUACUGAGCUACAUGGACCAAAGAUCUAACUCAAUCCAUCUCUCUAUGCCCAUGCCAGGUGCUAGAGUUGUCUAGUUCAGGACCCACCCUAUUAUAAUGAUUUGUUUUGUCUUGAUUUUUAAUUUGUUUUAACCAGUACCAAUCUUUUAUUCCUUGGUCAGACCACACCUCAAGUACUGUGUCCAGUUCUGGACAAUUUAAGAAGGAUAUUGACAAGCUGGAACAUGUGCGGAGGAGGGCAACCAAGAUGAUUUGGAAGCCAAGCCUUAUGAGAAAUGGUUGAAGGUGCUGGGUAUGUUUAGCUUGGAAAAUAGGAGACUGAGAAGAGAUAUCAUAGCCAUCUUCAAAUAGUAUAUCAAGGGCUGUUACAUGGUAGAUGGAGCAAGCUUGCUUUCUCCUGUUCUGAUGGCUAGGACCUGAACCAAUGGCUUCAAGUUACAAGAUAGGAGAUUUUGAUCAAACAUAAGGAGGAACUUUCUGACAGUAAAAGCAGUUUGACAUUGGAAUGGUCUCUCUCAGGAGGUUGUGAACUCUCCUUCCUUGGAGGUUUUUAAGCAGAGGUUGGAUGGCCAUCUGUCAUGGACACUUUAGUUGAGAUUCCUGCAUUGCAGGGGGUUGGACUGGAUGACGCUUUAGGCUUCUCAUAGGCAUCUGGUUGGUUGGUUGGUUGGUCACUGUGGGAGAUAGACCAGGGAUAGCCAAUGGGGUGUCCACUAGAUGCUGCUGGACUCCAACUCCCAUCAGCCUCAGUCAAUAUGGCCAAUAAUCAAGAAUGAUGGGAGUUGUAGUCAGGUGACAUGCAGAUGGCACCACAUUGGCUAUCCCUUCCUUGGUGAUGUUGGAAUCAAAGCAAUGUCUACACUGACUGGAAAGACACAUUCCAGGGUUUCAGACAGGGGUCUUUCCCAGUCACUUGUGAAGAAACCAGGGAUUGAAUUUUGCACCUUCUGCAUUGACAGCUUGUGUUGUCCCCCUAAGCUGAGGGACUUCUCUGUGUCUGGGGCUACAGAGGAUGAACCAAGAAGCUGAAAUGUGUUCUGAGUUACUUAACAUAGCAGAUUAAAAGCAGGGGAUCUUUUGAGCACACUUGAUAAUUCGCAGUCUCGAGCUGCAACAAGAUGUUUUAUAUUUCUCAUUGCCAUUUUUGGUAAUUAUGCAGUAUCUCUCUCAUUCCCCUUUCUUGCACUGAUGACUAGUUAAGGGGCAUGUGAUUUAUGACUUCAGUUCCACAAAGUCAGGUGCCUGAUGUAACAGAAGAAGACCUUAUGCCCUGGACAUUGUCACCUGCUCUGCUCCUGAAUCUGCUUUAUUUUUUUGAGAGAGAUCUGUGUGUUCUUCUGGGAAGAGACUGCUCUUAUUCAAGCACAAGGCAGCCAGAACAACCAGCGACAAUGGAGAGGCAUUGCUUCUCUUCUAGACAGCAAGGAUCUUCAUAGACAGAGCUAAAUGACUGUUAUAAGACCUGCAACUUUAAAACCGUUGACUUGACAUUGCUUCUACCUACUCACUCCCAUUCUCUCCCUGUCCACGUUAUGUAUCAUGUCUAGGGAAGGGUGGAUUGGAAACACACAAAAUGUGGAUUCCAAAGCAGACUUGCCUGUUUUGAUCCUGGCAGAUAAUGACUUGGAUCAGCUCAGGAGCCCACUUUAGAAUUUACAAUCUAGUGGAUUCCUUUACAAAGUGGCCUGAACACCUCUGUUUUGCCAUUGCCCUCAUUUCAUUCCACCCUCCUUUUUUUAAAAAAUAAAAUAAAGGUCCAGCCUCCAAGACUCUUUCAGGCUGCACUGACUAGCAUGUGUGGGCUUCUUUUUGCCAUCACACACUUUUCAUAGAAUCAAGGAGCUAGUCCCCAUGGAGAAGCAGGACUUGAUGAAUCUUUGCUGCUGUCUAAGUGAAUUGUGUGGCUGCUCUGAUAUAAAUACUAGGGAUAACCAUGCUGUUUCCUUGAAAUUGUAUUUUUCCAUAAAAUUUAAUAUCAUGUGGACUCCCUCACCCCAACUUUACAUUCUGCAUGGAAAUAGGAACUGAUGGACUAUCUAGGGAUGGUGUAAAAAUUCAAUUCACAUCACAUUUAGAGGUGAGUUGACUUAAUUCACAAAACAACAUGAAAAUGCAAACACUGCCAACUUUCAAAAUGUGUCUUUGAAUUUUGCGGUAAUAGUUUGGAUUUGAUAUCCUGCUUUAUCACUACCCUAAGGAGUCUCAAAGCAGCUAACAAUCUCCUUUCCCUUCCUCCCCUACAGCAAACACUCUGUGAGGUGAGUGGGGCUGAGAGACUUCAGAGAAGUGUGACUAGCCCAAGGUCACCCAGCAGCUGCAUGUGGAGGAGCGGGGAAUCGAACCCUGUUCAUCAGAUUACGAGUCCAGCGCUCUUAACCAUUACACCACAUUAGCUCUUUUGUACAAAAAAAGCAUGCACUAGGAUAAAAUGUGCAUAAAAUGCGAAUAUUAGUGAAAGUAACAUACAAGAAUGCAUUCUAUUAGAAGAAAUUCCUUUGCAAAAAUAUCUAUAUUGGGCAAAAUGGCAUGCAAACACACACACACACAUUUUAGUUUUACAAAUUAAAAUUUACAUACAAACUCAUGAAUAUAUAUUUUUUUAAAAAAUAAGCAAACAAUGAUUAGACUGAAUCUCUGGACUUCCUCCCACCCUUCCAUGGCUUCCAUUGCCAGUCUUUUUCUGCUGCUUAUUUUUAGUCAGUUCCAUUUUUAUAUAUCCAUUGCAUCCCUAGUUCUUGUUACAUUACAAGUGUUAUUCAAAUCCUGCUAAAGAGCUCAGCUGUUUAGAGUGGUCUCCAAGGUAAGUUAUAAUUUCCCCCCAUUCUUAAUUGAAAUUCUGUUCUUCCUGGUUUCUGAUUUUCCCAGUCAUUUUCACCAUCUCCGCAUAGUCCAUCAGUUUGGUCUGCCAUUCCCAUCUGGUGGGAACUGUUUCAUCCUUCCAUCUCUGGGCUGAGAGCAUCCUUGCAGCUGGUGUUGCGUACAUUAAAAGUCUUUUUUACUCCUUUGCUAUUUCUGCACCUAUAAUUCCUAACAAAAAGGCUUCUGGUUUUUUAAACAAAAGUUAUUUUAAUCACCCCCCCCAAUUUAUUAUAUAUCAUUUCCCAGAAUUCUUUUUAUAACCUUACAUUUCCUCAAACAUGUUAUUUUAGGGGAAAAGUCACACUAAAAUGGUGAUCAAUUUCCACGAGGACUUCUUUAAAAAAAUGGCAAAUGAAUGUGGAGAACAGAACUUAAGAUUACAAAAAGAAACUGAAACCGACUGACUCAUGCAUGUCUAGUCUCAACUCCAUGUAGAACUGAGAUGGGUCAGACUUUGAUAGGUCCAUCCACAACCUAAUCAAGUCUAUUUCGAUUAUGACCCUGACCCCCAUACGCACAGCCCAGGCUUAUACCCCAAAGUGGUCACUUACACCCUGGAGAGGUGCUGCUAACAUAGUGGUUUAACUUUGCCCCUGGAGACACACUCCACUGUCUCUUGAGACAGACAGAUGCCAACAACCCUUCAUUAUGGCCAAUGGGCAGAAUAUACAGUGGUACCUUGGGUUACAGACGCUUCAGGUUACAGACGCUUCAGGUUACAGAACCAGAAAUAGUACCUCGGGUUAAGAACUUUGUUUCAGGAUGAGCACAGAAAUCGCGCAGUGGCGGCACGGUGGCAGCAGGAGGCCCCAUUAGCUAAAGUGGUACCUCAGGUUAAGAACAGUUUCAGGUUAAGAAUGGACCUCCGGAACGAAUUAAGUUCUUAACCUGAGGUACCAUUGUAUAUGCCUCAAAGAAAUGUAUACAGUGGUGACCAGCCAUAGGGGCUGGUAGGCAGAAGGCAGAGGGGCCCACAGAAGGCAGAGCUAGAGCCAGUGAUAGGCAGAGCCAACUAAUUCUACUUCUGUCCCUGUCCUCCUUACUCAUGACUUCUAGAAGCGCAACAUUACGACCAAGGAAGAAGCGAACCGCCAGUGUCCCCUGGGGUGAGGGCUCACUGAGGGCACAUUUCAGUGGACCAUUUUUCUCUGAAUCUAUGUUACUGCAUGCCCCUGUUCCACAUUACUGAUGACAGAUAUCACAAAACACAAUUCCCAAACUAGAAUCUGUAGUUAGAUGAGAGGGAACUAGUGAUGUGGCUUCCAUUUUAGAAGAGAAUGUGCCCUUUUAAUGAAGUGUAGUUGAAGUCUGUUUGAGUUCACACGCGACAUAUUUUCUAUAAGGGUUGUUGCAGCAUUGAGUUUCUGGAAAAGCAGAUGCUGGGACUUGUAUACAUCUGGCAACAACAGUGACUCAUCCAGAGUCCUUCUGUCAAUUUUUUUUUUGGGGGGGGCGAGUCUCUGGAGUAACUUGGUGAUUAAGGAAAAUGCAAUCCACAGCUGCUCAGAGGAACUGUUGCAGACCAUCCACCGCAGUGGCUUGAAGAUCUUGCCACUUAUAAGGUAUGGUUUAUAAUUGUCAAUUUCAUUUGGAGACCUGUUUGGACAACUUGCAUUAACAUACAGUUUAAUGCAGGAUUGAUGGAAAAGUCUUCUUGCCAAUGGCAGCUAGGAAUGGAUUUUUGUUGAUAUAUCACACCUGUGAAAUUAGCUAAAAUGUAUAAUACAAGUAAUAAAUGUUGGAAAUGUAAAGAAAAAGAAGUAUCAUUUUAUCAUAUGUGGUGGGAAUGUAAGAAAGUAAAAAACUUCUGGGAAAUGAUAUAUAAUGAGAUGAAAAAGAUAUUGAAAUAUACAUUUUUAAAAAGACCAGAAGCAUUUUUACUUGGUAUUAUAAGUGAGGACAUUAAUAGACAGGAUAUUAAACUGUUUUUAUACCCAACAACAGCGGCAAGUGUUGGCCCAGAAAUGGAAACAAGAAGAAAUACCGAUGAAAGAAGAAUGGCAGACGAAAUUAACGGACUACGCAGAAUUGGAUAAAAUGACAGGAAGCAUUCGAAAACCUGCAGGACCAGAG